GGACACACCUGUGUGACAGAGCCCCCCGGGACCCCUGAGCCCCUCACACGGAACUUCAGCAGGGAGGAAACGCCUCGACAGGUGAUCUCCGGCUGCCGGGGGGUCCCGGGGGUCCCGGCCGGGGCUGACGGCGCUGCUGGUGCUGCUGCCCCUCGGGCUGGUGCUGGGCCUGGGGGUGGCAGCCAGGCGCUGUGGCAGGAGUGGCGCGGCGCAACACCAACAGCAUCAGCUUCAGCAACGCCACCUUCCGGAAAGGGCCCGGGACCCCCUGGAUGGGGGGGGGCUCGGGGACCCCCUGCGGCCGCUGACGUCAGAGG